AUAUCGCGCAGCGGCACGGCGCCUUGGCGGUCAGUUUAUCAGAAAAAAGUCCUUGAACUUCUCCACUUUAUUCGCAGUGAUAUUCAGUGGUUUGCGAGCUGGUCGAGGUUAUCUGAGACCACGAUGGAUGUGAGCGCAAGAUCAAGUAAUUUGCGCCUCGUGGGUAGACGGACGGUCUCAUAUCGACAAGGACAUCUGGGCAAACUCUGGUCGCUUGUUCGCUGACUCGUUAACCUUUAUCCGCGCUGGGGAAUCUUAUAAGAAUUCCACAUAAGUAUGCGCUUUUUCUAAGCAAUUAUUUUCAAGUCAUGUAGCAUAUUCUGCUAACAUUGAAGCACAGAGCGUGAGAGAGAAAUCUGGACAAAUUAAACCCUAUCAAUCGUGAAUAAUUCACAGUAGAUCCGCUGCUAAAUGAAUGCAACCUGUUGCCCUCAUUACCAACCCUUCCCUCGGCAAACCUCUCCCACCGAGCUUUAUUCAACAAGGUCUUUGUCUACACUCUCUCAGAGUUAUUAUAAGCAAAUUGCUAUUUGCUGGCUUAUAUGGUAAAUGAGGAAUUCCCGUAAAUCGAAAUUUUAAGAAGCCUUCAUCAUUGAAACAAGGUGCCAUAAUGACAAGUUACUUCAGCAAUUAUCACCGCAUCAAAAUGUUCAAACAAAACAGUCGAAGAGAUAAAAGGGGAUAAAAGUUUAGCUUACUGGGAUGAUCGGGUUUGCAAAUAGACAUAGGACGCCAUAGUCAUGUUGCAUAUUCACAGGAAAGACAAACCAAGAUAUCGGCCCAUGUAAAACACAUUUCCCAGUGUAAAUAUAAGUAACAAUGAUCUUUAAGAGAUUAGCUUGUUUAUAUUAACGAGGUCCCUUUGCCGCUUUAGCCGGGGUAUUUUCGAUAGUCGGCUACGUAAUCAGGGAUUUCGAGGACUAGAAGAAGGCAAAUUUCCGUUUAUCCUGGGGGAUAUUGCAAGAGUAUGACGAUGACUCAUACGGGCUAAAGGUCGCCUUGAAGUCUCUCUAGAAUUAUAAACGACAUGAUUCGCACGUCUUAGCGUCUGAUCAAUCUUACUCAUUCGCGCGUAUAUCUCAUGCUUCAGUUAUGCAAUUUGAUAAAACAUUUCUAAAGCCAGCGGCAGCGCGUCUUUUGACCCAUUUAUAAUGCGAAACAAACGACAAAUCGACACACCCCCUCCACAGCUCAACUCUGCAACCUGGCGACUCCUUGUCUCUUCAAAGAUUAAUUAUUAGAACGCAAAGUCCUUGAUCUCAACAAGGGAAAUUUACAAGAUUUCUGUCGGGACAUGAAAACUCUGUUGGUAUACCUGCCCUGCGGCCAAAGGAAAAGGCAGAAGCUCUAAAUGGUUAUUUUAAUUCUGUCUUUAAGACGGACGCCCCAAACGAGCCCCUUCCUGUCUUGGCUCCUAAGGACUCACCACCUCUUGGCGAAAUCUGCGUGACUGUUAAUGGAAUUGUCAAGCUUUUAAGUCGACAGAAACCCAACAAAGCAUGUGGCCCGGACCAGGUGUCUGCGCGAAUUCUGAAGCGUGCUCCAGAUGAAACCCCAGUAAUCUUGAGGGAGAUUUUCCAACAAUCUCUGAACUCUGGCAUAGUGCCUUAUGACUGGAAACAUGCAUAUGUCGCUCCGAUACAUAAAAAGGGCCCUCGGUCAAAUCCAACAAACUACAGGCCUAUCUCAUUGACAUGUAUAUCUUGAAAGCUACUGGACCACGUUGUAGCAAGUCACGUGAUGAACCACCUGGAAGCAAACGGCCUUCUCUCACCCUUCCAACAUGGUUUCAGGGAACGCUAUUCAUGUGAAACUCAACUGCUUCUAAAUUAUAACGAUCUGGCCAUUGAUAUGGAUAAAAAACAACAAACUGAUCUUAUACUUUUGGAUUUCUCAAAAGCUUUCGACUCGGUCUCACACUCGCGUCUUUUAUUAAAGCUUCAACACUA